GUGAGGCAUGGAGGAGACAAGUACAUUCAAGGAGUUCAUAGGCAAUCUGGCCUCGACCAGUCAGUGAGCUUCAGGCUCAGUGAAAGACUGUCUCAAAAAAAAAAUAAUAAGGGGCUGUGGUUAAGAGCAGUGACUGCUCUCCCAAAGGUCCAGCAUCCACAUGGUGGCUCACAACCAUCUGUAAUGAGAUUUGAUACCCUCUUCUGGUGUGUUCAAAGACAGCUACAAUGUACUUAUAAUAAAUAAAUAAUAAUAAUAAUUAAUAAAUCUAAAAAAAUAAUAAGAGGGAAAUUGAGGAAAUAUACCUAGAGGGUAAAACUCUUUCAGUGUGGCAAAGCUUGCCCUGGAAACCACGUGCAAAGCUCAGGAAUAAGUGCCUUAACAGGUGGUUUCUGUCUGAAACGUCGGAGGCACAGGUCUAAGGCCAGACAGUUACCCCCUAGCCCACCCUGAUAUACCUGCCUUUCCUCCUUUCUAGCCUUACAAAACUUCAAGCCCGAGCACCACAGCACACAUUCUCCGUUUCCUCGGAAAGACGUUGGCCCUUCAGUUCUGGCCAAAGGAGCCAUGCAGCCUUUAGAGAUACCUAUCUUCUAUCUUUUACUUCUACAUGACCUCCACCAUGCCUCGUCUAACAACACUCAAGGUCGUACAUGCAUGCACAUAUGUGCACCCAAGGUACACAUGCAUACACCCACACUGACAAGUACAUACUCUCAGUAAUGACGCAAUGCACACGCUGCUUAAAAACC
rnacentral:lncRNA from 1 species